rnacentral:rRNA from 1 species
CUGGCUCAGGACGAACGCUGGCGGCGUGCUUAACACAUGCAAGUUGAACGGUAUGACAUGGAAGCUUGCUGAAGUGUCAUAUAGUAGCGGACGGGUGAGUAAUGCAUGAGAAGCUGCCAUUGGGAGGGGGACAACAGUUGGAAACGGCUGCUAAUACCCCGUAUGCCGGAGGGUGAAAGGGAGUAAUCCGCCCGAUGAGGUGCUCAUGUCCUAUCAGCUGGUUGGUGGGGUAACGGCCUACCAAGGCGACGACGGGUAGCCGGCCUGAGAGGGUGAACGGCCACACUGGAACUGAGAUACGGUCCAGACUCCUACGGGAGGCAGCAGUGGGGAAUAUUGGGCAAAUGGGGGCAACCCUGACCCAGCGACGCCGCGUGGGGGAAGACGGCCUUCGGGUUGUAAACCUCUUUUGUACGGGAAGAAGGAAGUGACGGUACUGUACGAAUAAGUCCCGGCUAACUACGUGCCAGCCGCUGC